GAUGAACGCUGGCGGUAUGCUUAACACAUGCAAAUCGAACGGACUCUUCGGAGUUAGUGGCGGACGGGUGAGUAACGCGUGAGAAUCUGGCUUUGGGUUCGGGACAACCACUGGAAACGGUGGCUAAUACCGGAUGUGCCGAGAGGUAAAAGAGAAAUUGCCUGAAGAUGAGCUCGCGUCUGAUUAGCUAGUUGGUGAGGUAAAGGCUCACCAAGGCAGCGAUCAGUAGCUGGUCUGAGAGGAUGACCAGCCACACUGGGACUGAGACACGGCCCAGACUCCUACGGGAGGCAGCAGUGGGGAAUUUUCCGCAAUGGGCGAAAGCCUGACGGAGCAAUACCGCGUGAGGGAAGAAGGCUCUUGGGUUGUAAACCUCUUUUCUUAGGGAAGAACAAAAGGACGGUACCUAAGGAAUCAGCAUCGGCGAACUCCGU
rnacentral:rRNA from 1 species